GGAGCCUCCGUGCUCUCUGAUGACCACACUUCCCUCCAUCCAGUGCACGGCCGCCAUACUGCUUCUCUCACAGUAGGUCCUGGUGGUGACGGUCACAUUCAGGACCUGCCCGCACUCCUCCCCCUCCACAAGUGUGACAGGCAGUGUGGUCAGCGAGUUACCCAGGUCAGUGCCAUUGCGUGCCCAGCCGCUGAGGAGGCCCCCAGUGCGCGGGAUGAGGAGGUGCUCAGCGAAGUCCUUCUCAGGGGUGCACACAGGGAGCCCCGCAUUGGGGCACUGGAUGGGCCACUCCAGCUCCAGCAGUGACAGGUCAUUCUCCCCCGUGUCUGCGUCAUACCGCAUGUGCACAUGGGCACGCAUUAUCUUGAUCAUCAGUGGGUCUUGGCUCGUUCUGUUAAAAUCUGAAAUCAUGAACAAUCACCAGUUCUUUAAUCUGAUUUUCAAGGGUGACAUAAUGCUCAGAAACGAGCUUCUCAGUGAGCCACAUGAGGAGGGAGAGACCGACCCUGGAGGACCCGCAGGCUCACUGCCCCAUGGUGUGGACACUGUCCGUUUCUGUGGACAGAAAGGCCCACUCACAGAUUGCACGAUUGCAACCAAGUGCCAUGGCCUUUAAGAACAGUCAAGGAAAUGACGUAAAGUGAAAGUCAUAACAAUAAAUUGAAGCACGCAGAGAGCUCUCUGUUACCUGCCACGGGAGGUCCUGUAGAUCCAGUGCACGCUUCUCGGAGGUCAGCACCCCGCAGGCACACUGGUCUGCAUUUGCAGCAGCAACAUGAGAAUAAAAAUCAGCGCCUUCCCAGUGAAUAUCAGACUCUGUCUAUGGUGUUAACCAUUGCAUAAUUCCGGCUGUGGUACUAACCAUUAUAAUCGUAUCCUUAAUGCUGAUGAAUGUGCAAUAAUUCACACAGACACGCAGACUGGAGUUAAACCACCCCCCACAGCGCUCAUGGUUUAGCUCAGAGUGGUCUGAGCAAGCACAAGUGACAGAAACUGCACUUUCUAGCAUUGCCAUUGCUCCAGCAUGGAGAUGCGGACCACCUUCUGAGUCGUGGCAACUCCUUAUCACAAAUCUGUGGGCUUCACCCAGUACUACGAAGAAGGGAGGAGGAUGUGGACAGGGUCACUGGCACUGGAAGCUGGAGGCUGCUGUGGUCUGAGCACUCACCGUGGGGAACGCACUGUUUGCGGUCCUCACCAAGCCUGUAGCCUUGAGCACAGCUGCACGUGUAGGAUUCCUGUCCCGGGAGGCAGAAGUGUUGACACCCAUCAGUCCGCUCCAGGUGACAUUCAUUUUUAGCUGAAAAGGAAAAAAAAAAAAA